rnacentral:tRNA from 1 species
AUCAAUUUGGCUAAGUUAUUGAAGUGGCAAAUUUGAAUCUAUUGGAAUUUUUCCAUGCAGGUUCAAAUCCUAUAGUUGAUG